rnacentral:ncRNA from 2 species
UUGGAAGUAAAAGUCGUAACAAGGUUUCCGUAGGUGAACCUGCGGAAGGAUCAUUACCGAGUGAGGGCCCUCUGGGUCCAACCUCCCACCCGUGUUUAUUUUACCUUGUUGCUUCGGCGGGCCCGCCUUAACUGGCCGCCGGGGGGCUUACGCCCCCGGGCCCGCGCCCGCCGAAGACACCCUCGAACUCUGUCUGAAGAUUGUAGUCUGAGUGAAAAUAUAAAUUAUUUAAAACUUUCAACAACGGAUCUCUUGGUUCCGGCAUCGAUGAAGAACGCAGCGAAAUGCGAUACGUAAUGUGAAUUGCAAAUUCAGUGAAUCAUCGAGUCUUUGAACGCACAUUGCGCCCCCUGGUAUUCCGGGGGGCAUGCCUGUCCGAGCGUCAUUUCUGCCCUCAAGCACGGCUUGUGUGUUGGGCCCCGUCCUCCGAUCCCGGGGGACGGGCCCGAAAGGCAGCGGCGGCACCGCGUCCGGUCCUCGAGCGUAUGGGGCUUUGUCACCCGCUCUGUAGGCCCGGCCGGCGCUUGCCGAUCAACCCAAAUUUUUAUCCAGGUUGACCUCGGAUCAGGUAGGGAUACCCGCUGAACUUAAGCAUAUCAAUAAGCGGAGGAA